GAAAGAAGAGAACUAAAUCUUGUUACUAAGUACUAGUGCCGCAGGAGUAAUUUAUACAUCUCCUGCUGCUUAAGUGCUUAUCAAUGAGGGUUUAGUGGGUCUACU
rnacentral:pre_miRNA from 12 species